rnacentral:rRNA from 1 species
GACGAACGCUGGCGGCGUGCUUAACACAUGCAAGUCGAACGGUAAGGCCCUUCGGGGUACACGAGUGGCGAACGGGUGAGUAACACGUGGGUGAUCUGCCCUGCACUUCGGGAUAAGCCUGGGAAACUGGGUCUAAUACCGGAUAGGACUCCGGACUGCAUGGUCUGGGGUGGAAAGCUUUUGCGGUGUGGGAUGGGCCCGCGGCCUAUCAGCUUGUUGGUGGGGUGAUGGCCUACCAAGGCGACGACGGGUAGCCGGCCUGAGAGGGUGACCGGCCACACUGGGACUGAGAUACGGCCCAGACUCCUACGGGAGGCAGCAGUGGGGAACAUUGCACAAUGGGCGCAAGCCUGAUGCAGCGACGCCGCGUGAGGGAUGACGGCCUUCGGGUUGUAAACCUCUUUCAGCAUCGACGAAGCGAGAGUGACGGUAGGUGCAGAAGAAGGACCGGCCAACUACGUGCCAGCCGCCGCGGUAA